UACGAGUACCCCAAGCGUUAUCCGGAAUCAUUGGGCGUAAAGGGUGUGUAGGUGGCGAUGCUAGUCUUCUGUUAAAACUUCGGGCUUAACCCAAAGCUUGCAGUGGAAACGGCAUUGCUUGAGGAUGCAAGAGGUGAAUGGAACUCAUGGAGUAGGGGUAAUAUCCGUUGAUAUCAUGGGGAACACCAAAAGCGAAGGCAAUUCACUGGCGCAUUCCUGACACUGAAACACGAAAGCGUGGGUAGCGAAUGGG
rnacentral:rRNA from 1 species